rnacentral:misc_RNA from 1 species
CGCACCUUGCGCUCCUUGGUAUUCCGAGGAGCAUGCCUGUUUGAGUGUCAUGGUAUUCUCAACCUUCAACGCUUUUGCAAUGGAGGCUUGGAUUUGGAGGCUGUGUUGGCGCAAGUCAACUCCUCUUAAAUGUAUUAGUGUGAACCUUACGGAUCGCCUUCAGUGUGAUAAUUGUCUACGCUGUGGUGUUGAAGUAUAUUCGAGUUCAUGCUUCUAAUCGUCCGCAUGGACAAUCUACUUUGACAAUCUGACCUCAAAUCAGGUAGGACUACCCGCUGAACUUAA